UACGUAGGGGGCAAGCGUUGUCCGGAAUCAUUGGGCGUAAAGAGCGUGUAGGCGGCCCGAUAAGUCCGCCGUGAAAGCCCAGGGCUCAACCCUGGGAUGCCGGUGGAUACUGUCGGGCUAGAGUUCGGAAGAGGCAAGUGGAAUUCCUGGUGUAGCGGUGAAAUGCGCAGAUAUCAGGAGGAACACCUAUGGCGAAGGCAGCUCGCUGGGACGUUACUGACGCUGAGACGCGAAAGCGUGGGGAGCAAACAGG
rnacentral:rRNA from 1 species